AACGAACGCUGGCGGCAUGCCUAACACAUGCAAGUCGAACGAGAUCUUCGGGUCUAGUGGCGCACGGGUGCGUAACGCGUGGGAAUCUGCCCUUUGGUUCGGAAUAACAGUUGGAAACGACUGCUAAUACCGGAUGAUGACGAAAGUCCAAAGAUUUAUCGCCAGAGGAUGAGCCCGCGUAGGAUUAGCUAGUUGGUGUGGUAAAGGCGCACCAAGGCGACGAUCCUUAGCUGGUCUGAGAGAAUGAUCAGCCACACUGGGACUGAGACACGGCCCAGACUCCUACGGGAGGCAGCAGUGGGGAAUAUUGGACAAUGGGCGAAAGCCUGAUCCAGCAAUGCCGCGUGAGUGAUGAAGGCCUUAGGGUUGUAAAGCUCUUUUACCCGGGAUGAUAAUGACAGUACCGGGGGAAUAAGCUCCGGCUAACUCCGUGCCAGCCGCCGCGGUAA
rnacentral:rRNA from 1 species